UGUCUACUCCCACUAGAAGGUAAGUACUGUAAAGCAGAGGUUUUGUUUUCUUCCCUGUUUUCUGCUAACUUAAGCAGCUAGAAACUGGCCCAUCAUAGGCAAUCAGUAAAUGUUUGUUGAAUACAAGAAUGAAUAAAGCUAUCCCUUCCUUUCCCCCACAUAGAAAUUGAGGGGAGAGAGAGUUCAUGGGAAAAAAUUUAAUCAGGUCAUCCCUGUGAGCGCAAGACCUCUUUGCAUUUCUAAGGGACAGUUAUUGAAAGUAUAUGGCUCAUGGCUGGGCCUCUUUCUUAUUUUCUGCAGGCCUGAAGAUACACAAUUUGGAAAUAGAAAAUGAAGGGAGGAAACUAAACAUUGUUCUGCAUAUUAAUGUGACACAGUGAUGCUCUUGAGAGAACAGCACCUUGAAAUUUAUGAGCAGUUAGAAAAUGAUUUUUCUUCAUCUCUCCAGGUUUAGAUGGUGUUGAAGAACUGCAUUCCCUCCCUCAGUCAGCUUGUCCAGCCCCUCUGCGUUAAAUCCCCCUCUAUAUGCUGACAACACCGACACAUCUCUUAGCCUGACAUCUGCGUUUGCAUGUCUGAUCUAAAUUGUCCCCCUCCCAGGGCACCUGGGUGGCUCAGUUGGUUAAGCCUCUGACUUUGGCUUGGGUCAUGAUCACACGGUCUGUAAGUUCGAGCCCCUCGUUGGGCUCUGUGCUGACAGCUCAGAGCCUGGAGCCUGCCUCGCAUUCCGUGUCUCCCUCUCUCUCUGUCCCUCCCCCACUUGCGCUCUGUCUUUGUCUCUGUUUCUCUUUCUCUCUCUCAAAAAUAAAUAAAUGUUAAAAAAAAUUAAAAAAAAAAAAACCUGCCCCCCUCUCUCAGCUCCCAGUCUUUACCACCUCCGUUAAUGGCUCCAUCACAUACAUAGUGGCUUCAGCCCCAAACCACCUGGUCACCCGUGAUUCCUUUUUUCCUCACUCUUGACAUCUCAUUCACUGGGAAGUCCUGUGAGUUUUUCCUCCAAAAGGUAUUAUAUCCCAACACUGUUGACUGUCCAUUUCUACCACAUCAACGCUAGUCCAGGUUCACCAUCACUUCUCUGAACUGUUGGCCAGCAACUCCAAUGGAGUCUUCCUGCUUUCUCCCUUGUCCCCAAGUACCUCUUCUCACAGAUCAAUUGAGGGAAUUCUGUCAAAGAUGUAACUCCGAUUAUGCCACCCUCCUGUUUAAACCCCUUUAAUCUCAUUCAAUUUUACUUCAAAUGGAAUCUAAACUCCUUAACCUGGCCGGGGCUCCACCUGAUCUGGCCCUUGCCUGCUUCUGCAUCACCGUCCCACUUCUCCUUCCCUACAUUGGCCUCAUUUUCCUUCUUUGAAUAUACAGAGCUCAUUCCUGCUUUGGAUCUUUUGCACUUGCUUUUCCCUUUGUCUGGAAAGCUCUGUCCCAGAGCAUUGCUGCACUCUGUUCCUUAGUCAGGUCACCUUCUCAAAGAGCCCUUCCUGACUACCCUGUAUAAUGCCUUUCCACCCCCACCCUAUCUCCUCCUAUAAUCAUCUAGGUUUUAUAAGCAGUAUCAGGAAUGGUUUUGAUUGUGUGUCUUGCAUCAACAAAGUCCCACAAAGAACGUCCCGUUCGCGUGGGGUAGUUGAAGAGAGGUUAAUAAAAGCACCAUUUCCAAAGAUUUAGGGAGGUGAAGGGGAACCAACCAGGGAAGGUAGUACUACUUGCAGCAAUAAUAAUAGAGAGCUGUUAAUACCCCAAGGCCUGAAUGGCGCUGGGCUGGGAGCAGCUACUUGAGCCUGGAGAGAACAGCUGUAAUUUACAGGAGAGGCCAUUUGGCAGGACUGUGGCCCAGCAGACAAGGUGUCAAGGGAAAUAAACACUCAGACCUAACUCUCCUGCUUCCGUCCAGACUUUGCUGGUGCUCCUCAUUGGCCUAACCCAACCAGAAGCUGAAGGGCAAGACUACCAAUUGAUGCAAUCCAUAAAGCAUGGUCAACUAAGAAGUAUCACGUUGAGUUGGAGAAACCCAAGACUGGAGCCUGGAAUGUUCUAUAUCAACUGAGCUCAGACCUGAAAACUAGGUUAGGAUUAAAGUACAGUGUCCAGGGACGAGAAAAGAAAGGAGCCUUUUUCAUGAGACUAUUCAAAAGAAUAGAACUCCUUAAGGAAGCAUUGCAAUCCACAUGCCAUUUUGCUGUGUUGGUGGCAAAUUUGCAUACCUUUAUCUGGAGCUGCCAGACCAUCGGGACAAGACGUUUCAGAUAUGGUACACACUGUUUAAAAAAAUGCCAAGAAUGCAGUUUGACUCCUUGAGAUCCAGACUUCUGCUCCUGAUAAUAAGCAACAGACGCCACUUGCUCAGCACUUUCCCGGGUGCUCUGCCUGGACUCCAGGGAAAAAGCUCGUCAUCGCACAGCACACUGGCCUGCUCUCGUGUGUCUUUCUCUUCCGUCUGGGGUGCACUUUCCCUCUUCUUCAUCUGGCUAACCCUUCAUCCUUCAGAACACUUCUCACUCCUCAUGGUGUCAAGGAAGCUUCUCCUGACACCCCCAGAGUCUGGAUUAAGUCCCGCCCCGUGUGCUUCUGUGGCAGCCCUGCCUGCCUCUACCAUGACACUUACUCCACUGUCUUAAAGCCAGGUGUCCAUUCAUCUCAGUUCCCAGGAAGUCUGUGGUGUCUGGAAGAGAGGAACUACGUCUUUCAUCUUGAUAUUUUGAUGUCUAGUGCCCCGUAAAUAUGCGGUAGAUGUUUGUUGAGUGAAUGAAUGAGAAUUAUUGACUUUUUGGCGUCAGACUAUUCCAGACCCUGGUGAUCUCAAAUCCAUCAUCAUAUUCUGCACAAACUGAUUGAAUAUUGAUCCCUUGCCAUUGCUUCAGGUUGAAAAGAAAAAAAAAAAGACCUUUUGAAAAUAGGAUGUGCAAUUGUAGAAAAACAAAACUGUUCCUACAAGCCACACAUAAAUAUCAGUCUCAUUAUUUUAUGAUUAUCCUUCACAAGUGACUAAGAAAAUUUGAGAUGACUGAGUUGCAGUCAGACUUGAACACAUGCUUCAAGAAUCUUAACUUUGUUUGCUAGUACAAAACAGUUUCAACUGAAAAUGUCAGAAAGACAUCAUCUGGCCAGGAGAAGAUUUGCAAAUAGUGUUUUAUUUCAUUUCUGUCAAAACUUUACCUGGUUUGUUCCUAUAUCCCAAUCUUCAAAUUCUGUCUCUCAGUGAAAUCUAUACCAUUGUCCUUGGACUCUCUCCUUGUGGACAUUAACCUGCCACACACAUAAAACUCUAUGUAAUUUGUUCAAUUCCACAUAAGUUAAUGAAUACUUACUACUCACAUUGUGCCAUUAUUGAGAUAAGGUCACAGAGUCAGGGUAUUUGUAUUCCAUAUUUUUUGUUUCUUAUUCUUUCAUUUCUUCACUCAACAAAUAUUAUAAAGCUUUCACGUAAAGGCACUGCUCUAAAUGCUAUUGGGGGGGGGAAGAUCAAUGCAUUCCUGAUUUCAGAGAAAUUAUAAUUAGUGAGAUAAGAUACGCAGGCAUACCAUAUUUAACACCAACGUGAGCCGAUACUCUGAGAUACGUCCCAUGAUGAAUUCCCUCAUGGUCGGUUCUCCCUGCCUGCAGGGUUUACCCUCACAGCAAGCAGGGUUGUGCUAGAAUGAAAGAGGUUUCAGACAUAGGCUAAUGUUUGAAAACAGGGCAAGUUACUAGACUCAGUUGCUUAACCUGUGUCUACUGUGCAUAGAAUGAUUGAGAAGCGUAAACGUGGAAGUGUGUCAAAGUGGUGACACAGAACACUCAGUUCUUGUGCCUGUUCUUCCCCAAGCCUCGGAGAGGAGGAAAAACAUGCCGCAUCUUCCCCUCUACUCCGCCUCUUUGGGAAGGCCAUGUCCUCGGUGGAGUUAGGGGAUACCGGUGCCACAGGCAGGCAGAGCAACUCUGAUGGUCCCUUCCAAAGUAGGCAGAGAAAGCAGCC